rnacentral:tRNA from 1 species
GCUCUCGUCGUUCAAUGGAUAGGACAAUAGUUUGCGGAACUGUAAAUUUAGGUUCGAUUCCUAACGGGAGCA